UUGCAGCGGGCCAUAGAAAAAUGCGACCUGACAGAGGUGGUGAUGAGAGGAAUAUUUAAGUUAUUUGAGAAUGGCCUCAAUCACCACAUAUCUUCUCUGCUGCUGCUGGCUACAACAUGCAACUCUCCUUUGCGAGCUAACGAUUUCUCUCCUUUCUCUCUCGCUUGAUGGGGGCCUGGCAGCAGACUGCUACAUUACAACGGUGUAUUCUACCAACACCAAAGAUUUUUGGCAACAGAUCUUGGAUGCAUUCCAUGUGAUCGAAGCUGGUCCGUACAGAGCGCCAUAGUUUAUGGCACGAGUUUCUACGUAGAGUCGAGGAACUUCCCACUCUCUCAGGAGUUAAGUCAAUUCCUCCAUGUGGACUUUGGAGUGCGCUUGGGUGCGAAAGACACACUGCACAGCUCCCCGUUGACGGACACGGCAACGAGCAGCUCGAGUUUAAUAGCGGCGUCGCGUUCCCACUUUGUCAAACGUGGUUGGUUCGGAUGAUAGGACAGUCACCUCCAUGUGGGCGAUCAUUUGCGGAGCGAGCACCCAAGACAGAAAAACAAUCGCGGCAACUUCACCAUUAAACAACGUGAAACAUCUGUCAAGCCUCGACCAACAGAAACAAGGAAAAGGAACGAUCUCGCGUAAAAGAUGGACAAUCCGGGAGCGUUGACAACAUCUUAGCUUCCGGAAAUGGUUCCCGAGGAGGGAGGGGGAGGAGCCGCAAAUCAAACAGCUAGCUGGCUUGAAAGUUGGCGGGGUGCUGCCCGGGCAAAUCCAGAUUAUGUAAAGUUGGAGCGAGGCGAUGACGAAGAAAGGCCACCGGCCGCUGUCGAGUAGAAAAAGAGAUGCUGAGGCGGUCCGGGUUUUUUUAGCCGAUGCCUGGAUCUGUGAACGAGUUGGAGAAGAUUUUGCUGUGUCCAUGGGGUCCGUGACAUGGAGCGUCGAGAUGAUUGCGAUGCGAGCUUUUCCUGGGCCCGCAGUGAAGAAACCAAGUAAUGUUUGUUCUA